CCCUGGGUGGUGAAAAUGGUUAACGUAUUCAGAUACUAAUUGAAAGUUUGGUGGUUCAAGUCCACCCAGAGGCA
rnacentral:tRNA from 1 species